CCCACAGGCCGUAAACCCAAGGUUUCCAGGGGAAGGUUCGUCCGCCCUGGGUUAGUCGGGACCUAAGCUGAGGCCGAAAGGCGUAGGUGAUGGACAACAGGUUGAUAUUCCUGUACUACCGAUAACCGGUUGAGAGAAGGGAUGACACAGUAGGAUAAGCUAAGCACACUGUUGGUUAUGUGUGCCCAAGCAUUGAGGCAGGCAAAGUAGGCAAAUCCGCUUUGAUAAUGCUGGGAUGGGAUGGGGAGCGAAAUUUAGUAGCGAAGUAGCUGAUUUCACA
rnacentral:rRNA from 1 species